rfam:Echinococcus granulosus EG_S00171, whole genome shotgun sequence.
GCCGGUGAUCGUACCACUUAGAAAGCAGCUGUUCUCGUCCACUCACCAAAUCUAAGCUACUUUGGGCCAGCUUAGUACCUGCAUGGGUGACCGGCUGGAAACAUUCGGUCUUACUGGCC